rnacentral:rRNA from 1 species
UACGUAGGGACCAAGCGUUGUUCGGAUUUACUGGGCGUAAAGGGCGCGUAGGCGGCAAUUCAAGUCAGUUGUGAAAUCUCCGAGCUUAACUCGGAACGGUCAACUGAUACUGCUUUGCUAGAGUACAGAAGGGGCAAUCGGAAUUCUUGGUGUAGCGGUGAAAUGCGUAGAGAUCCGGAGGAACACCAGUGGCGAAGGCGGCUGGCUGGACCUGACCUGACGCUGAGGCGCGAAGGCGUGGGGAGCGAACGGG